UUAAUUUAUUUUGGUAGUUGAAGAAAGUUCGUAGCUAUCUUACUUAUAAGGCAUUUUAAAGAAAAUUUAUCAACUUUUAUAUCUUAUAAAUAAAUAAAUCGUAGUUGUUGUGCAAAUAUUAUCAGUCUAGCUAUUUGGCACCUUUUAAUAUCUAAUAUCUCUUUUUAUCAGAAACCCAUUAUUACUAUCUAAAGUUUAGUCAUUUCCUUAUCAAAUAUUCGUAGCCUUACUCAUGGGCAUUGCACGAAUGUCGAGAAUAAUGAGUUUAACCGUGACACCAAAGGAGUAUGGAAAAUCAAUAGCGAGUUAACAAUGCUGGAGUAGAAGGUCCUUGAUGUGUUCGCAUACAAUACAUGAAUAUGUGAUUGUGUUUAUGGGUGUGUGUGCAACUGGAGCGACUCUUGGUCUUUUGGAGCAAGCGCUGCAAGGGCGCCUGGCGUUGUGGACUGCCGGACUGGCCAUUGUUGAUGAUAUCGCUGCCACUGCCCCACUCGGCAUCGAUGGCCUUGGAGG